rnacentral:snoRNA from 1 species
GUUGGGAAAUGACGAGAACCCUAUUCCACUGAUGGAAGAUAAUUGUUAUCCACCUCUUGAUUAUACCUUGCACGUCAGUCUGAUCCCAUG